rnacentral:rRNA from 1 species
AGUUCGAUCAUGGCUCAGAUUGAACGCUGGCGGGAUGUUUACACAUGCAAGUCGAACGGCAGCACGGACUUCGGUCUGGUGGCGAGUGGGCGAACGGGUGAGUAAUGUAUCGGAACGCCUAUAGUGGGGAUAACUACGCGAAAGCGUAGCUAAUACCGUACACAACAUCUUCGGGGGAAAGCGGGGGACCUUCGGGCCCUCGCACUAUUAGAGCGGCCAUAUCGGAUUGAUGUUAGUUGGUGGGGUAACGGCUCACCAAGGCGACGAUCCGUAGCUGGUUUGAGAGGACGACCGGCCACACUGGGACUGAGACACGGCCCAGACUCCUACGGGAGGCAGCAGGGGAAUUUUGACAAUGGGGAAACCCCGAUCCAGCCAUCCCGCGUGCGAUGAAGGCCUUCGGGUUGUGAAGCACUUUUUGGCAGGAAAGAAACGGCACGGGAUAAUACCCCGUGCAACUGACGGUACCCGCAGAACAAGCACCGGCUAACCACGUGCCAGCAGCCGCGGUAAUACGUAGGGUGCAAGCGUUAAUCGGAAUUACUGGGCGUAAAGCGUGCGCAGGCGGUUCGGAAAGAAAGAUGUGAAAUCCCAGAGCUUAACUUUGGAACUGCAUUUUUAACUACCGAGCUAGAGUGUGUCAGAGGGAGGUGGAAUUCCGCGUGUAGCAGUGAAAUGCGUAGAUAUGCGAGGAACACCGAUGGCGAAGUGCAGCCUCUUGGGAGGCACUGACGCUCAUGCACGAAAGCGUGGGGAGCAACAGGAUUAGAUACCCUGGUAGUCCACGCCCAAACGUUGCCAACUAGCUGUUGGGGCCUUCGGCCUUGGUAGCGCAGCUAAUGCGUGAAGUUGACCGCCUGGGAGUACGGUCGCAAGAUUAAACCCUCCAGCGGAAUUGACGGGAUCGCACGCUGCUGGUGGAAUACGAUGAUUAAUUCGAUGCAACGCGAAAACCUUACCUACCCUUGAUAUGGUCUGAACCGAAGAGAUUUUGGGAGUGCUCGCAAGAGAACCGGAACACAGUAAAAGGUAUGGCUGUCGUCAGCUCAGGCCGAGAUGUUGCUGGUCCGCAACGAGCAAACCCUGUCAUUAGUUGCUACGAAAAGGGCACUUAUCGAGACUUGCCGGUGACAAACCGGAGGAAGGUGGGGAUGGACGGCCAAGUCUCAUGGCCCUUAGAGGGUAGGGUCACAUUGGCCGUACAAUGGUCGGGACAGAGGGUCGCCAACUCCGCGAGGGGGAGCCAAUCCAGAAACCCGAUCGUAGUCCGAUCGCAGUCUGCAACUCGACUGCGUGAAGUCGGAAUCACAGUAAUCGCGGAUCAGCAUGUCGCGGUGAAUACGUUCCGGUCUUGUAAAGACACCGCCCGUCACACCAUGGGAGUGGGUUUUUUUACCAGAAGUAGUUAGCCUAACUGCAAGGGAGGGGCGAUUACCACGGUAGGAUCUGGCGAUCAGUGAAGUCGUAACAAGGCAACCUC